rnacentral:rRNA from 1 species
GACGAACGCUGGCGGCGUGCUUAACACAUGCAAGUCGAACGGAAAGGCCCCUUUGUGGGUACUCGAGUGGCGAACGGGUGAGUAACACGUGAGUAACCUGCCCUUGACUUCGGGAUAACUUCAGGAAACUGGGGCUAAUACUGGUUAGGAAUCCUUGCUUCAUGGUGGGGGUUGGAAAGCUUCGGCGGUUUUGGAUGGAAUCGCGGCUUAUCUGCUUGUUGGUGGGGCAGUGGAUUACCAAGGCUUUGACGGGUAGCCGGCCUGAGGGGGCGACCGGCCACAUUGAGACUGAGAGGAGGCCCAGGCAGCUACGGGAGGCAGCAGUGGGGAAUAUUGCACAAGGAGCGGAAGCCUGAUGCAGCAGCGCCGCGGGCGGGAAGACGGCCUUCGGGUUGAAGACCGCUUUCAGCAGGGGCGGAGCUUGUGGUGACGGUACCUGCAGAAGAAGCACCGGCUAACUACGUG